UACAGAGGGUGCGAGCGUUAAUCGGAAUUACUGGGCGUAAAGGGUGCGUAGGUGGUUACUUAAGUUAGGUGUGAAAGUCCUGGGCUUAACCUGGGGAUUGCGCCUGAUACUGGGUAGCUAGAGUAUUGUAGAGGAAAGUGGAAUUUCCGGUGUAGCGGUGAAAUGCGUAGAUAUCUGGAGGAACACCGGUGGCGAAGGCGGCAUCCUGGACCGGCAUUGACGCUGAGGCGCGAAAGCCAGGGGAGCAAACGGG
rnacentral:rRNA from 1 species